AGCGAGUACAUCACUUAACCGAGAGGUUUGGGUAAUCUUGUUAAACCCUGUCGUGCUGGGGAUAGAGCAUUGCAAUUAUUGCUCUUCAACGAGGAAUGCCUAGUAGGCACGAGUCAUCAGCUCGUGCCGAUUACGUCCCUGCCCUUUGUACACACCGCCCGUCGCUACUACCGAUUGAAUGGCUCAGUGAGGCCUUGGGAUUGGCUUAGGAGGGUUGGCAACGACCCCCCAGAGCCGAAAACUUGGUCAAACUCGGUCAUUUAGAGGAAGUAAAAGUCGUAACAAGGUUUCCGUAGGUGAACCUGCGGAAGGAUCAUUACCGAGUGAGGGCCCUUUGGGUCCAACCUCCCACCCGUGUUUAUUUACCUUGUUGCUUCGGCGGGCCCGCCUUAACUGGCCGCCGGGGGGCUUACGCCCCCGGGCCCGCGCCCGCCGAAGACACCCUCGAACUCUGUCUGAAGAUUGUAGUCUGAGUGAAAAUAUAAAUUAUUUAAAACUUUCAACAACGGAUCUCUUGGUUCCGGCAUCGAUGAAGAACGCAGCGAAAUGCGAUACGUAAUGUGAAUUGCAAAUUCAGUGAAUCAUCGAGUCUUUGAACGCACAUUGCGCCCCCUGGUAUUCCGGGGGGCAUGCCUGUCCGAGCGUCAUUGCUGCCCUCAAGCCCGGCUUGUGUGUUGGGCCCCGUCCUCCGAUUCCGGGGGACGGGCCCGAAAGGCAGCGGCGGCACCGCGUCCGGUCCUCGAGCGUAUGGGGCUUUGUCACCCGCUCUGUAGGCCCGGCCGGCGCUUGCCGAUCAACCCAAAUUUUUAUCCAGGUUGACCUCGGAUCAGGUAGGGAUACCCGCUGAACUUAAGCAUAUCAAUAAGCGGAGGAAAAGAAACCAACAGGGAUUGCCCCAGUAACGGCGAGUGAAGCGGCAAGAGCUCAAAUUUGAAAGCUGGCUCCUUCGGGGUCCGCAUUGUAAUUUGUAGAGGAUGCUUCGGGAGCGGUCCCCAUCUAAGUGCCCUGGAACGGGACGUCAUAGAGGGUGAGAAUCCCGUAUGGGAUGGGGUGUCCGCGCCCGUGUGAAGCUCCUUCGACGAGUCGAGUUGUUUGGGAAUGCAGCUCUAAAUGGGUGGUAAAUUUCAUCUAAAGCUAAAUAUUGGCCGGAGACCGAUAGCGCACAAGUAGAGUGAUCGAAAGAUGAAAAGCACUUUGAAAAGAGAGUUAAAAAGCACGUGAAAUUGUUGAAAGGGAAGCGCUUGCGACCAGACUCGCUCGCGGGGUUCAGCCGGCAUUCGUGCCGGUGUAUUUCCCCGCGGGCGGGCCAGCGUCGGUUUGGGCGGUCGGUCAAAGGCCCUCGGAAGGUAACGCCCCUAGGGGCGUCUUAUAGCCGAGGGUGCAAUGCGACCUGCCUAGACCGAGGAACGCGCUUCGGCUCG
rnacentral:rRNA from 1 species